rnacentral:rRNA from 1 species
GACGAACGCUGGCGGCGUGCUUAACACAUGCAAGUCGAACGGUGAAGCGCCUUCCUUUUUGGUGGGUGUGGAUGAGUGGCGAACGGGUGAGUAACACGUGAGUAACCUGCCCCCUUCUCCUGGAUAACCGCAUGAAAGUGUGGCUAAUACGGGAUAUUCUGGGUCUGUCGCAUGAUGGGUCUGGGAAAGAUAUUGUUUCGGUGGGGGAUGGGCUCGCGGCCUAUCAGCUUGUUGGUGGGGUGAUGGCCUACCAAGGCGGUGACGGGUAGCCGGCCUGAGAGGGUGGACGGUCACACUGGGACUGAGACACGGCCCAGACUCCUACGGGAGGCAGCAGUGGGGAAUAUUGCACAAUGGGCGCAAGCCUGAUGCAGCGACGCCGCGUGAGGGAUGGAGGCCUUCGGGUUGUGAACCUCUUUCGCCAGUGAAGCAGGCCUGCCUCGUUUGUGGGUGGGUUGACGGUAGCUGGAGAAGAAGCGCCGGCUAACUACGUG